rnacentral:rRNA from 1 species
AGGGCACCACCAGGGGUGGAGCCUGCGGCUUAAUUUGACUCAACACGGGAAAUCUCACCAGGCCCGGACACCGGAAGGAUUGACAGAUUGAGAGCUCUUUCUUGACUCGGUGGGUGGUGGUGCAUGGCCGUUCUUAGUUGGUGGAGCGAUUUGUCUGGUUAAUUCCGAUAGCGAACGAGACUCUGGCCUAUUAACUAGACGUUAGAUCCUUUAUGGGUCUGACGAUGCUUCUUAGAGGGACGGGCGGCUUUUAGCCGCACGAGAGUGAGCAAUAACAGGUCUGUGAUGCCCUUAGAUGUUCUGGGCUGCACGCGCGCUACACUGAAGGAAUCAGCGUGUCCUCCCCGCUCUGAAAAGAGUGGGUAACCCGUUGAAACUCCUUCGUGAUGGGGAUUGGAGAUUGUAAUUAUUCUCCAUGAACGAGGAAUUCCCAGUAGGCGCGAGUCAUCAGCUUGCGUCGAUUACGUCCCUGCCCUUUGUACACACCGCCCGUCGCUACUACCGAUCGAGUGAUUUAGU